UGUUAAAAAUUCUAUCCAUUUGUGCUGUUAAAAACUGGUUUGACUGACAAAAUAACCAAACAAUGACAGUGUACCUCAUGCUGAUGUACACGAACCAAUUUUUAAUAGCAAAAAUGAAUAAAAUUUUUAACA
rfam:Gossypium hirsutum cultivar TM-1 chromosome 10, whole genome shotgun sequence